rnacentral:rRNA from 1 species
GACGAACGCUGGCGGCGUGCUUAACACAUGCAAGUCGAACGGAAAGGCCCUGCUUUUGUGGGGUGCUCGAGUGGCGAACGGGUGAGUAACACGUGAGUAACCUGCCCUUGACUUUGGGAUAACUUCAGGAAACUGGGGCUAAUACCGGAUAGGAGCUCCUGCUGCAUGGUGGGGGUUGGAAAGUUUCGGCGGUUGGGGAUGGACUCGCGGCUUAUCAGCUUGUUGGUGGGGUAGUGGCUUACCAAGGCUUUGACGGGUAGCCGGCCUGAGAGGGUGACCGGCCACAUUGGGACUGAGAUACGGCCCAGACUCCUACGGGAGGCAGCAGUGGGGAAUAUUGCACAAUGGGCGGAAGCCUGUUGCAGCAACACCGCGUGCGGGAUGACGGCCUUCGGGUUGUAAACCGCUUUCGCCUGUGACGAAGCGUGAGUGACGGUAAUGGGUAAAGAAGCACCGGCUAACUACGUG